UGCUGGCUCUCAGAGUAGCCCUGAGAGAACAAAUUGGAGACACAGAAAUUGAAAGGCCAAUUUGGAAAGAAGGGACGUUUAUAAGGAAUGAUGAAGAUGAACUGAUCAUCAGCAGGAACUGCAUAAUUAACCACCAGUUCCAGCUCAGUGAAACUGAGUAUGAAGCUGAGGAAGGAGGUGGUUGCAAUGCAACACACACUGUAUCAAAGACAAGCCAGGAGUGCUGACCGGCUCUAUCUCAAGGGACUGUGGCCCUCCAAUGGAAGAGCAGUGGAGUGCCAAAUGAGGUCAGGAAAGAGGAUUUUAAAAUGCCAUUAAAUAAAAUUGAAGGAUGCAAGUACA